UCAAAGAAAUCAAAUUAUGUAUCUUUCGGUAUUAAUCACAUAAAUUUAUCAUUAAAUUGCGGAUUUUUAUAAAAUUCAUAUUUUUGUGGACAUAAUUAAAAUAAGAGAAUCUGCGGUCUAUUUAUCAUAUACUAAGAGCAUACGGAAAGAACGGGAGAAAUCACAUUUUCUAUUUUUUACAGAGGAGUGGACUUAAGAUUCACAUAAUUCUCCCGUUUAAUCAUGAUAUUUUGAGGGCAGGAGGGCUGUUCAGUCAUGGAUUUAACCGGUUAUUUUCGCUCUUGCAUUGUUUUGAAUGGAAAGCGAUCGUUAAUACUGUUGCUUUACCAUUACGUUCUCAGCGUGUUGUAUUUCUAUUGGGUGGGGGGGGGGGGGGGAUAAAGGCCUAGUACUGUAUGCAUGGGGAUGGACAGCAAGGCAAUGCUAUGGACACCUUUGUGAGAUAUUCCAAAACACGUACUCUGAUAGCGGAACGUUAAAUUGGUCGUCAUGUGAUCAUCUGAUACUUAUGAUAGGAUCUUUGCUAUUGGGCUGUGGAAAAUACAAUGUGAAGAAGCUACAAGCACAUGCCAUUAAAUAUAUGUUAAAUUGCUCCUGCGUAGUACCUGCAUACUGGCUAUCAGGACACAAAGGAUGAGGGAUGCAGGAUGAAGAAAUACUUUGGUACGCUAGGCCAGGCCUGUACAAGGGCGUUUUUACGUUUGAGUUAGUUAUGAACAUGCGGCAACUCAACGUUAUUACCAAAGGAAUAAAAAAAAAUAUAUAUAUAUAAUAUGUAUAUAUAUUAAUAUGAUAAUAAAUAAACGUUAUCUUUUAUUUCUAAUAUAUAUAUAUGUAUCUAUAUAUAUAUAUUAUAUAUAAUUAUACGAGACAUGAUCCGGGAAACGAUCGAAGGACGAAGGAGUCGCGAGGAUAUACAAUUUGGAAUGUGUACAAAAAUGGUUAACGCGCUCCAUGCCGCGUGGAUCACCGGUGAUCCAUCCUCCCGUUUAAUAUUGAAGUUUAUUAAUGACUAGGGAGACGAAACUAAAACUGGAAACACUUCGGUAUAAUCGAUAGUCUCUUGUAAUUAAAUAUUAAAUAAUCGUAGUAUUUAGAUACUAAUACUAUAUUAUAAAUUUACAUACACACAUGUUUAACCUGUUGUGCACAGGAUUUGUUCUUAUAAUAACUUAACCACUUUUGAAGGUAGGACUUACUAAUAGCAUUUUAAAAAAGCUUUUAUAUAAUUGACUAUUCCUUAUCUUUUUAUAUAACAAUAAAUAAUAAAUUAAGUUUCACUGGGUUAAGUGUUUCCAGUUUACUUCGCUCCCAAAAUACUAAAUAUACACAAAUAAUUUACACGAAUAAACGUCAACAAAAUGAAAUAAAAAGAAAUUAAUGACACGAGUCUAAGGUAUAAUUUAAUUCUUCGUAAAAUUAAUCGUAGAAGGAAAAAACUGAAGCAAACAAAAACAAAACAAGAUCGACCAUACAUAUCUACGUACAUCGAAACCAAGGAGUCUGGAUAUUUGCAAUGUAUGUAGAAUAUAAUAUGAUGAACAUCGGCCAAAAAAUAAACAUUGUAAUACACGCAAAAAUAUAAAUUAAGUACUUCAUAAUACGGCUCCUUUGAGCCCAUUGUUUCCUUAGUUCAUGAUCAUAAGUUU